CUUCUGCUGCUACCUCCAGGCUGGUGAUGCAUGGGACCUUCUCGGCACCUUUUUCAUACCAGCCUGGGUGCAGGACCUAGAACAGUGCCAGGAAUUGAGGAACAUUUGGAGCAUGAAAUGAAGUUUUCCAUAAUCAGGAUGGCAACGGGGACUGUGGGACAUGACCACCGACAUGGAAACCAAAGGGCCUCCUUCCCACCGCUUUUGUAAUGUGGCACCUACCAAGCACCAGGCAGUUGGUGUUAUUUCAGAGUUCUCACCAUGGCCCCAUAGUGCAGACAAGGAAAUGGAGGCCUGGAGGAAUGAAGGCCAGAACUGGGAUUCAAACCCAGGCAUGGGCCAUACAUCCAUUUGGUUCCUUCCCUGAAAAUUCGG
rnacentral:lncRNA from 1 species